GACGAACGCUGGCGGCGUGCUUAACACAUGCAAGUCGAACGGAAAGGCCCUGCUUUUGUUGGGUGCUCGAGUGGCGAACGGGUGAGUAACACGUGAGUAACCUGCCCUUGACUUUGGGAUAACUUCAGGAAACUGGGGCUAAUACCGGAUAGGAGCUCCUGCUGCAUGGUGGGGGUUGGAAAGUUUCGGCGGUUGGGGAUGGACUCGCGGCUUAUCAGCUUGUUGGUGGGGUAGUGGCUUACCAAGGCUUUGACGGGUAGCCGGCCUGAGAGGGUGACCGGCCACAGUGGGACUGAGAUACGGCCCAGACUCCUACGGGAGGCAGCAGUGGGGAAUAUUGCACAAUGGGCGGAAGCCGGAUGCAGCAACGCCGCGUGCGGGAUGACGGCCUUCGGGUUGUAAACCGCUUUCGCCUGUGACGAAGCGUGAGUGACGGUAAUGGGUAAAGAAGCACCGGCUAACUACGUG
rnacentral:rRNA from 1 species